rnacentral:rRNA from 1 species
GACGAACGCUGGCGGCCCGUCUAACACAUGCAAGUCGAACGAGCGAGAGAGAGCUUGCUCUCUCAAGCGAGUGGCGAACGGGUGAGUAACGCGUGAGGAACCUGCCUCAAAGAGGGGGACAACAGUUGGAAACGACUGCUAAUACCGCAUAAGCCCACAGCUCGGCAUCGAGCAGAGGGAAAAGGAGUGAUCCGCUUUGAGAUGGCCUCGCGUCCGAUUAGCUAGUUGGUGAGGUAACGGCCCACCAAGGCGACGAUCGGUAGCCGGACUGAGAGGUUGAACGGCCACAUUGGGACUGAGACACGGCCCAGACUCCUACGGGAGGCAGCAGUGGGGAAUAUUGCACAAUGGGGGAAACCCUGAUGCAGCGACGCCGCGUGGAGGAAGAAGGUCUUCGGAUUGUAAACUCCUGUUGUUGAGGAAGAUAAUGACGGUACUCAACAAGGAAGUGACGGCUAACUACGUGCCAGCAGCCGCGGUAAAACGUAGGUCACAAGCGUUGUCCGGAAUUACUGGGUGUAAAGGGAGCGCAGGCGGGAAAGCAAGUUGGAAGUGAAAUCCAUGGGCUCAACCCACGAACUGCUUUCAAAACUGUUUUUCUUGAGUAGUGCAGAGGUAGGCGGAAUUCCCGGUGUAGCGGUGGAAUGCGUAGAUAUCGGGAGGAACACCAGUGGCGAAGGCGGCCUACUGGGCACCAACUGACGCUGAGGCUCGAAAGUGUGGGUAGCAAACAGG